CCUGGUGGUUUGUGCAUAGUGGUCCGACCUGAUCCCAUCCCGAACUCAGUAGUCAAACGCUAUAGCGGUGACAAUAAUGCAUCCGAAAGGUUGUGUGAAGAUAACUCACUGCCAGAC
rnacentral:rRNA from 1 species